UGGGGAAUAUUGGACAAUGGGCGCAAGCCUGAUCCAGCCAUACCGCGUGGGUGAAGAAGGCCUUCGGGUUGUAAAGCCCUUUUGUUGGGAAAGAAAAGCACACGGUUAAUACCCGAGUGUUCUGACGGUACCCAAAGAAUAAGCACCGGCUAACUUCGUGCCAGCAGCCGCGGUAAUACGAAGGGUGCAAGCGUUACUCGGAAUUACUGGGCGUAAAGCGUGCGUAGGUGGUGAUUUAAGUCCGUUGUGAAAGCCCUGGGCUCAACCUGGGAAUUGCAGUGGAUACUGGGUCACUAGAGUGUGGUAGAGGAUAGUGGAAUUUCCGGUGUAGCAGUGAAAUGCGUAGAGAUCGGAAGGAACAUCUGUGGCGAAGGCGACUAUCUGGGCCAACACUGACACU
rnacentral:rRNA from 1 species